GAUGAACGCUGGCGGCGUGCUUAACACAUGCAAGUCGAACGCAGUGCUCUUGCUUCGGUAGGGGCAGCUGAGUGGCGGACGGGUGCGUAACACGUAGGAACCUGCCCCAGAGAGGGGGAUAACCGGUUGGAAACGACGGAUAAUCCCGCAUACGCUCCUACGGGAGAAAAGCUACGGCGCUCUGGGAUGGGCCUGCGGCCUAUCAGGUAGUUGGUGGGGUAAUGGCCUACCAAGCCUACGACGGGUAGGGGGCGUGAGAGCGUGGCCCCCCACGACGGGAACUGAGACACGGUCCCGACGCCUACGGGCGGCAGCAGUGAGGAAUCUUGCACAAUGGGCGAAAGCCUGAUGCAGCGACGCCGCGUGGGGGAUGAAGGUUUUCGGAUUGUAAACCCCCUUUCAUGAGGAAAGAUAAAGUGGGUAACCACUUAGACGGUACCUCAAGAAG
rnacentral:rRNA from 1 species